AUUGUUGUACUUCAAUUCUCGAAUUUUAUCGCUAACAUUUUCUUGUUAUUAUACUAAAUGCAUGCAACUAUGUAAUUAUUAUACUAAAUACAUUGUUCUUGAAGGUAUACAUGAUAAGUCUGUGCUUUGAAUUUUACUCCUCCUGUAUCAAUUAUAAACAACAUUUCACUUUUUAAAUUCAUUGAAUAAUGUUGAACUAUAUAGAGUUAGGCUCAUUAGCUAGUUAGUAUAGGUCCAUUAACUAGUAGUAGUUAGUAUAUAAGAUAGAAGUUGUACUCAUUUGUGAUUUGAUACAUUCAUUUGUAUCAAUUCUAUUAGUUCCAUUACAAAUUUCUCAAACUUUUCUCUCCCUUUACUCUGAUAUCAUGAAUCUUAACAUGGUAUCAGAGCCAUGGAUUCCUCCUUAGGCACACAAUUCAGCUGCAAUUUUCCCGAGAAAAUUCAACUCUUGGAUUUUUUUCCUUCCAUUCUCAUUUUUCAUUUUCCAGUUUCGAUCUUCUUCUCUGUCCAUGGUUCUUAAUUCCUUUCAGAAUAUUGUUCAAUCUUGAUUCAAUUUUCAAUUUUCGAUUUUAUUUCUUUUCUCAUUUCCCGUUUCAAUUCGGUUUUGCGAUUUUCGUGAUUCCAAUUCAUGUUCUUGAUCUGACUUCUUGAUUUCUCUUCUAUUUAAUUCAUCAUUUUCCCCAAAUUCUAGGGUUUGAGACUUUAUUUUGAUUGAAUUUCAGUUUAUUUCCAUUUCCGCUUCCGAUCGCAUAUCAUCUGCACUCUGUUUCUGGUGCUGUGUUAUUUUCGAUAAUGAUUCAAGGAGACGAUGAUGAAAAUCUCAAUUUCGAUGAUUCUUUCUAUAUUUCUUCGUUAAAAACUUGCGGCAGUUCGUUAUUGCAUUAUGUUACUUUGAUUCUUUGAGUUCACCGGCAUUGGCGGCAGUUAUUGGUGAGAUUGCGGUGGAUAUGAUUUGACGAUUCUUGAGUUUCGGAUUCAUUGUGAGUGGUGUUAUUGUCACCAUUGAAGAUACUGAUUGCAGAAUUGAAUUUUGCUCUCUUCAGUCCUUGAGGUUUGUCUACAUUGUGAUACUAUUUGACAUUGAUUUUCUUUUAAGCUCUUAUGAAGUUAGAGACAAAUAUGCAUCUGAGGCUGUUUUUUUGAUCAAUUUUAGCUUACUUUUGAUCAAAGAUUCAUUGGCUUUGAAUGUUCUUUGAAGUAUAGUUUCCAGCUGCUUAUUGAAGAUUGAUUUUGGCAUUAGUUACAAUUUAUUGUUUGUGAUUUUCUACAUCAGUGGUAUUUUGGAUGGACAAUUGUGUGCUUUGGAAGCUUGACAUUAGUAAUUGUUGUGAUUUUCACGUGCUCUAACAGUUACUAUUAAUUGAUCAAUGAUUUCCGGCAAAUUGUCAAUUCUGUGAAGUUUUAUCCAAGAUUGGUUCAGAUUGAAUGAUAUAGAGUUAGGUGUUGUGAUAUGGAAAUUCAAGUUGGAAGUUCAUUGUUACCAAGUUUACUGUUAAUCUGGUUGCUAAAAUGCAUCUUCUCCAAAAGUUGUCAUCUGAAUUUUAUGCCAUAUGUUGAGAAGGGUUUAUAGAGAUUUGGUACAAUAAUAUUGUUCUACUUGAGCACUUGAAAAGUUUGUCAAGUUUGGAUUGGAAUUUCGUUGCUGGUUCUACACUUCUACCUGUACUUUGGAUUAUGGCUUGGAAGCUAUUAAAUUGGUUCAAGUAUUUAGGCCUGUUAUGGUUAUCCAAUUUGGAGUCUUAAGGUUCAAGUCUAGUAGUAGCUUGGUUGCUUGUCCUCAGUUUUAUGCAUUUGGCUUAUGCUUGCUGAUAGUUUGAAAUUUGAAGAUUGGAGACAUUUUUUUAUUUGGCUAUGGAUCUUAGCUUUAUCUCCUCUUUCACAGUCCCAUAUAAGUGGUUUGUUGUCCUGUUUGGUACCUCACUGCUUCUGUUUUGCCUCCUACAAGUGUGUUGGAGUUUAGUCUUAUUUGAAUACCCUUUGUGGUUGCUGCUAGUUUUUCUCUUAUUGUGAAGAUUCAAGACCGGUUUUGAACUCUUUAAUCUACUCUUUGUUGCCCUGUUUUAGGCAGGUGCUUAGCCAUAUUGGCUUUGUCGCUUUUAUGCUAUCUUUUGAGCAGAUUGUAUUUGCUUGCUUUGUCAAGUGGUUAGUUGGUUUUUUUGAUGUGCUAUCUCAUCUUGAGCACAACAUUGGUAUUGAUGCUUUACUCUCUAGCCAUCAACCAUGCUACUUGAUCUUUCUCCUUGAUUUGUUGGUCCUUAGAUGAGCUAAUUACCUUUAUUUAGCACAACUUGAGUAUUGAUGCUUCACUUUGUAGACAUCGGACCCUUUUGAUAUUCUCUACUUGAUCUUUCUCCUUGAUUUGUUGGUCCUUAGAUGAGCUAAUUACCUUUAUUUAGCACAACUUGAGUAUUGAUGCUUCACUUUGUAGACAUCGGACCCUUUUGAUAUUCUCUACUUGAUCUUUCUCCUUGAUUUGUUGGUCCUUAGAUGAGCUAAUUACCUUUAGCACAACUUGAGUAUUGAUGCUUCACUUUGUAGACAUCGGACCCUUUUGAUGUUCUCUUUUUUUGCUUCUAUCUUGAGUGAUUGAGUGCUCUUGAUGGUUAAGCUUUGUGCCUUAAUUGGCUUUGUUGAUUUGCUUCUGCCCUUAGUUGGCUUUGAUGGGUUGUGUUUCUUCCUUAUGGUGGUUAAGCACUACUAGUUGUAUUUGAGUUGUUUUCUAGCCGAUGUAUUCCGGCAAAUUUCAUUGUAUUUUCUUUAUAUUGAUGUACCUUUGUAUUAGUGAUCCCAAGCUGGAAGUGUUGUGACCACUUUCCAGCUUGCGGGAGGCUGUUGAACUAUAUAGAGUUAGGCUCAUUAGCUAGUUAGUAUAGGUCCAUUAACUAGUUAGUAUAUAAGAUAGAAGUUGUACUCAUUUGUGAUUUGAUGCAUUCAUUUGUAUCAAUUCUAUUAGUUCCAUUACAAAUUUCUCAAACUUUUCUCUCCCUUUACUCUGAUAUCAUGAAUCUUAACAAAUAACUAAUAUAUCUGUUAUAUAAAUACAUUAGUUUUUUUUUUUUGACGCAAGUUGUUCAAUGUAUCUAAAAAGUGAUUUUUUGUUUAUAAUUGAGAUCGGAGUGAGUAUGUGACACAGACAUACCGAGUAAAAUAAGGGGACACUAAGGAUGAGUGAUUGAUUUGUCUUGUAGAAUCAAUUAUGCUUUAAAAAGCACAUAUUGUGUUUGUUCACUGUUCUCAUAUGUUAAGAGGCUGGAACAAUGACAAGAUGCAGCUAAAGGAACAGUAAAUGACAUCAUGAUGUAGGAAUCACCUAUGUAGUAAUCUAUCUUAAAAUAACUCGGGAGAUGUCAUCUGCAUUGAGGUCCGAGGAUAUGUAUUAUGUUGUGAAUUAAUAUUUUCAGGUGUUUGCCACUGACUUACACAGAUAUAACCGAAGGUUGGAAUGAAAUGUAAAUGAUCCACCUGUUAGAAAUUCACAGGAAGCUUUUAUGAUGGAGACGCGUGCUGCUAGGAUGAUCUGAAGCAGACUGCAAUAUUUUCAGGAUUUGCGUCCCUUAAUGACCAUGUAGAACAAAGAAGGAUUGCGUUUAACCAACUGGCAGAAAAAACAGACCACACAUUAUCUAUGAUUGGAGAGAAAGCUGCUGCUA